CAUCCCCAGUUGUCAGCCAGUGC
rnacentral:miRNA from 1 species